rnacentral:lncRNA from 1 species
ACUCUGCUCCCCAGCCUAAGCCAUAAUUAAAGGGGACAUUGAGACAUAUUGCUGUGCCCAGCACCUAUGUGAUGUGACUCUCCUUUCCUGCCCAGGCUAUGCCUAAAAGAAAUUGUUACAUAUCAUGGAGCCAAGAUCCCAGUUGAUUUAACUCUCCUGCUGGGCCCUGCUCACAUGGGAAAUAUUGGCAUAUUCCUUGCCUAGCACUCAGAAGGCGUUGUAACAUCUCACUAAGCCCAGCACUCAGGCGAUGUGGCUUUCCUGCUAUGGCACUGCACACAAGAAGAAUGUUGACAUAUUCCUGGCCCAGAAUUCAGGUGGUUUGGUGACUCUCAAACCAUGAUUCAGCAGACCUGUGAGGCUGUGAGUUCCCUAUCAGAACACAAUCUGCAGGUUGUAUUGUGCCAUAUACCUGGGACCAAAUUACAAGCACAAUGAUGAAUCUUUUACCUGGAGUCAAGACAUGGGCAGGAUGAUGGAACUUAUCACUGGACCUUUCCACAGUGUUAUUGUGACAUAUGCCUUUGCCCAACAUGUGGUGAUUUGACUCCCCAGACUGGGUCCAGUUCACAAAUAAAAUUGUGCCGUAUACUUGGCCAAGAACCUAA